UACGGAGGGUGCGAGCGUUAAUCGGAAUUACUGGGCGUAAAGCGCAUGCAGGUGGUUCAUUAAGUCAGAUGUGAAAGCCCGGGGCUCAACCUCGGAACUGCAUUUGAAACUGGUGAACUAGAGUGCUGUAGAGGGGGGUAGAAUUUCAGGUGUAGCGGUGAAAUGCGUAGAGAUCUGAAGGAAUACCAGUGGCGAAGGCGGCCCCCUGGACAGACACUGACACUCAGAUGCGAAAGCGUGGGGAGCAAACAGG
rnacentral:ncRNA from 2 species